GACAUAGGUGGCGAACGUUAUCCGGAUUUAUUGGGCGUAAAGGAUGCGUAGAUGGUGGAAUAAGUUGUUGGUCAAAAUCGAGCUCAACUUGAUGGAAGCUGAUAAUACUGUUCUGCUUGAGGACAGGAGAGGUUAGCGGAACUCUAUGCGUAGGGGGUGAAAUCCAUUGAUCUAUAGAGGACCACCAAAAAAAGGCGAAGGCAGCUAAACGUAUUCUGCUCCUGACAUUUGAGGCAUGAAAGCGUGGGGAGCAAAACGG
rnacentral:rRNA from 1 species